GACGAACGCUGGCGGCGUGCCUAACACAUGCAAGUCGAACGGAAAGGCCCUGCUCUUGUGGGUUGCUCGAUUGGCGCACGGGUGAGUAACACGUGUGUAACCCGCCCUUGUCUUUGGGAUAACACCAGGAAACUGGGGCUAAUACACCAUAGGAGCUCUUGCUGCACGGUGGGGGUUGGAAAGUUUCGGCGGUUCUGGAUGGACUCGCGGGUUAUCAGCUUGUUGGUGGGGUAGUUGCUUACCAAGGGUUCGACGGGUAGCCGGCCUGAGAGGGUGACCGGCGACAUUGGGACUGAGGUACGGACCAGAAGCGUACGGGAGGCAGCGGGGGGAAGUAUUGCAGAGUGGGCGGGAGCGAGAGGCGAAGACGCCGGGUGCGGAAUGACGGCUUACGGGUGAUAAACAGCUGUGGAAUGUGACGAAGAGGGAGUGACGGUAAUGGAUAAAGAAGCACCGGCUAACUACGUG
rnacentral:rRNA from 1 species